AAAAAAAAGAAAAAGAUAAACGCACAGUGAGGUAGGGGAUUUCUCGGACCUAGAGGCUGGAGGACGGAACAGUGCGCUAAGGAGGAAAAUACACGGAGGCUGUGCGCGUCUCGCACGGUAGCACCGGAGAUGGAAUCGCACAGAUGCCUCUGCACCAUUACUUAUGAUGACCUUCUCACGGAUUCUCUAUGCUAGCGGGGGCUUUAGGAGGUAGGCGUUACAUUAGCAUCCCAAACGCACUCAUUAGUGAUGGAGGUUGUGGAAGCAUGGGAAAAAUCAAGACAAGUGGAAUGGCUUGUGGAAGCAUGGAAAUGAAGAUUCAAGUGUUUUGUAUGGCUUAGGGAAGCCUAACUUGUUAUGUUUGAUUUAUGUAAUGUAAUGUAUUUGGUUGGUAAUGGCUUGUUAAAGCCUAAGAUCAUGUAUGUAUUUUAUAUCUUGGGAGUGUUUGAUUUUAUUUUAAAAUGAGAUAUUGGCUUAUGGCAUAUUGAAGCCUAGGUUUGGUGAAAGCCUUAUUUUUGGUGUG